CUUCAAAAAUGAGUAUUGCAACUAAAGGAAUGUCAAAACUCCAUCCUUGUCUCCUCUCUGCUUUAGGUGAGGGCAGGUAGGAAAGAGGGUGCAGCUGAAAAAGUCUUGUCUCUCAUCACUACCUCCCUCCCAACCCCUACAAAGGUCAUUGGGAAAAAAGAAUUCUCAUAAACCAAGAACUAUGGACUAGUAAAAGGGACAAGAACCUCAGAUGAUAAUGCAGUUUGCAGAGCCUCUUUCCUUGAGAAAACAGAACAGAAAGCUAUCAGUCACAAGCAGAACUGCUUAAAAGCUGGGGAGAGGACCUGCUUCUGCCAUCUGCAUGCCCUUUGGAACAAAUUGUUCUCAUCUGCCUAUUCUGCCAAGAAACAUCUUCACAAACUUGGAGUAGACAGCCAUCUUAUUUAUGAGAUGAACACCUCUGGUGUGAAGGCUUGCUGAGUCCUUUUCAAAGCUGCUCUUUUGGUGCCCACCUUUUACCCAACUCUCAUCUGUGACUACAAGAAACUGAAGUAUGUGCAGUGGCCACACUCCAAUAAAACUGUCUCAGUACCCCA
rnacentral:lncRNA from 1 species